ACGUCCCGAUCAAGCCCCUUCAGCUGUUGGUUCAAGCGAGCAUCGCCUUGGCCGACGUCGGAUUCCUGUGCUGAAUUCCUAACGGACGGCAAUCUCUAGUCCCACCAACGUCCCGUACUCCUCCCCUCGUCGCGGGUCCGCAAGGACACGCGGCGCGGGGAGGACAUCAAAGCCCCCGUCGUGUCUCGCAGCCCUCGCGCCCGCCCAGCACGGGUGGCCCGGGCCUGCCGACCCACGACGUCGCGCUCGAUCUCUCGGAUGCGGAAAACCAAGCGGCCACGAGGCCACGGCCUCCGAUGCCCCUUCAUAAGAGCGCCCGACGCUCCCUGCGGACGACUGCCGGCCGGGUCUUGGCCCGGGGCCCCAGCGGCUCCCGGAUCAUGCCCGUCCGGCGUCGACGAGGAAUGCUACCUGGUUGAUCCUGCCAGUAGUCAU
rnacentral:misc_RNA from 1 species